GGGCACAUGGUGUAGUUGGUUAUCACAUCCGCUUAGCAUGCAUCGCUGAUGUCGUGUAUGAUGCGGGGGGUGCUGGGUUCAAUUCCCAGUGUGUCCA